AGAGAAAGGAAACAAGAGCCAAAAAUUCACCCAGGUAGAGGGUAGGAUGGACCUGUGGUCUGAGUCUGUGUGAUGGUUGUGUGUUUCCCUGCCACCUGGUCUCUAACCGUGAAGAAAGACACAGACCUCUGCCUAAGCUGAAGAAAGGUCAAAACUAGCUUUUCAGGGGGACAGGGGGCAUAGAUAGGACAGCACUGUGGCCUGAACACAUCAUGGUAGAGGACUCAUAGUAGGAGGUGUUGAUGCCCAGCAGAAGGGUUAAAGGGGGAAUGAGUCUCCAACACCAUGUCUGGUUUGUCCGGCCCACCAGCCUGGCAUGGCCCUUGUCCAUUGGCAUUGCUGCUUUUGUUCCUGCUCAGCCCCAGCUUGGUCCUUGCCAUCUCCUUCCAUCUGCCCAUUAAUUCUUGCAAGUGCCUCCAUGAGGAGAUCUACAAGGACCUGCUAGUGACUGGCGCGUAUGAGAUCUCCGACCAGUCUGGGGGCACUGGCGGCCUGCGCAGCCACCUCAAGAUUACAGAUUCUGCUGGCCAUAUUUUCUACUCCAAAGAGGAGGCAACCAAGGGGGAAAUUUUCCUUUACCACUGAAGAUUAUGACGUUUGAAGUGUGUUUUGAGAGCAAGGGAACAGGGCAGAUACCUGACCAACUCGUGAUGCUAGACAUGAAGCAUGGAGUGGAGGCAAAAAAUUAUGAAGAGAUUGCAAAAGUUGCGAAGCUCAAACCAUUAGAGGUGAAGCUGCAACACCUAGAAGACCUUUCAGAAUCUACUGUUAAUGAUUUUGCCUACAUGAAGAAGAGAGGAGAGGAGAUGUGUGAUACCAAUGAGUCAACAAACACUUGGGUCCUAUACUUCAGCAUCUUUUCAAUGUUCUGCCUCAUUGGACUAGCCACCUGGCAGGUCUUCUACCUGCAAUACUUCUUCAAGGCCAAGAAGUUGAUCGAGUAAUGAAUGAGGCAUAUUCUCCUCCCACCUUGUACCUCAGCCAGCAGAACAUCGCUGGGACAUGCCUGGCCUAAGGCAUCCUAUCAGCAGCACCAUCAAGGUGGGUUGGAGCUUUCUUGCCAGAACUGAUCUCUUUUGGUGUGGGAGGACAUGGGGUACCAACCUACACCCAACAAGUCAAUGAGGGACUUCUUUUUAAUUUGGUAGAAUUUUGACUGGUUUUUGCAACAAUAGGUCUAUUAUUAGAGUCACCUAUGACAGAAAGAUAGG